rnacentral:rRNA from 1 species
CCUACGGGGGGCAGCAGUGGGGGAUAUUGCACAAUGGGGGAAACCCUGAUGCAGCGACGCCGCGUGGGCGAAGAAGUAUUUCGGUAUGUAAAGCCCUAUCAGCAGGGAAGAAGAAAUGACGGUACCUGAGUAAGAAGCACCGUCUAAAUACGUGCCAGCAGCCGCGGUAAUACGUAUGGUGCAAGCGUUAUCCGGAUUUAUUGGGUUUAAAGGGUGCGUAGGCGGAUCGUUAAGUCAGUGGUCAAAUUGAGGGGCUCAACCCCUUCCCGCCAUUGAAACUGGCGCUCUUGAGGGGAAGAGAAGUAUGCGGAAUGGGUGGUGGAGCGGUGAAAUGCAUAGAGAUCACGCAGAACCCCGAUUGCGAAGGCAGCAUGCCGGCUUCCGACGGACGCUGAAGCACGAAAGCGUGGGGAUCGAACAGGAUUAGAUACCCCUGUAGUC